AGUGAACGCUGGCGGUAGGCCUAACACAUGCAAGUCGAACGGCAGCACAGUAAGAGCUUGCUCUUACGGGUGGCGAGUGGCGGACGGGUGAGGAAUACAUCGGAAUCUUCUUUUUCGUGGGGGAUAACGUAGGGAAACUUACGCUAAUACCGCAUACGACCUACGGGUGAAAGCAGGGGAUCUUCGGACCUUGCGUGAUUGAAUGAGCCGAUGUCGGAUUAGCUAGUUGGCGGGGUAAAGGCCCACCAAGGCGACGAUCCGUAGCUGGUCUGAGAGGAUGAUCAGCCACACUGGAACUGAGACACGGUCCAGACUCCUACGGGAGGCAGCAGUGGGGAAUAUUGGACAAUGGGCGCAAGCCUGAUCCAGCCAUACCGCGUGGGUGAAGAAGGCCUUCGGGUUGUAAAGCCCUUUUGUUGGGAAAGAAAAGCAGCAGGUUAAUACCCCGCUGUUCUGACGGUACCCAAAGAAUAAGCACCGGCUAACUUCGUG
rnacentral:rRNA from 1 species